CGGAAGCACUGAAUCCAUGAUUUAAAGAAAACUCGAUACGUAGUUCAUAGUUGUAGAUAUUUUCUUCUCUCUCUUCAUCUUUACGAGUUCAAUCACUUCUGCCUAAAGCCUUUAGCUCAACAUUUUCCCUUUAUCGGGUAACCGCGAUUAUGCUUCGAGAUCUUCAUUCGCCAUCGCUCUUUAGGCGUUGAAAGUAUCUCGAAGAAGCGGAUGGUUCUCGUCUGCUUUCUCAUUUCGCAGCUCCAAAGGCUAGUUUUUUUUGGGAUGAGCUCUCUUGUUUUGUCCGAAACAUUGCUUUUGGGUGGGAGAUGAAAAAUACUAUUAAAGUGGACCCAAAUCAUUGGAACCUAGUUUGAAAUGAAGUGAAGUGAUCUGGUGAUUCAGCAAUGAGGUUGAUGCCACCAAAUGCCAGAUCUUUAUGAAACGGAUAUGGACCUCGUAUACAUCAGCACAGACAUCCACACACGCAUAAUGUACAAUUAAUAAACCAGUUUCUGUGAUUUUGGAGGUCUCUAAUGUUCAAUCCAGCAAGUUCCUCUCCCAAAAGUUUCCUGCAACCGCAACAACAGAGGCAAGUCAUUUCAGGUGAAAGAUGAGAGUAUCUUAACACCAUGAGGUGGAUUUUAGGACACCUAUCUUUCAUAUGUGGAUUCGUGGUGAGGUAUGCAGUAGGAACAGUCUUUUCAAAGGUGUAGAAGGAAUAAAUUGGAUCUCAGACACGCAAAAUGGUAACGCAUAUCCUGAAAGGGAUUACUAACAUCUACACUACAUAUUCAUUCAUCAUUGCAAGCCUGUAUAACAUCUGAAGAGAACCAUCUAGAUAUCCAUUAAUCAUAAGUACUCCCUUCGUCCCAAGCUUACUUUAAUGAUAUUGGAUUUUAUGUAGUGUUAUUUAGUGUAAUAUUGGAGUGAGAAAAAAUUAGUGAUACAAGUAAUGGGUCAUCUUGGUUGGGACAAACUAAAAAGGAAAGUGAGUCAGGAGUGUGUUAUUCUAAUAUUUUGGAUAAGGAAAACAACUACAAGUUCAUCGUCUCUAACCUCAUAACUAGUAACUGAAUGACUUGACUUAAUAUAGCUUGACUUUGAGGUAUAGUGAAUUCAGGUAUGCCGAAUGUGAUGAGUGCAAUGCAGUCUGUGAACUAACCUACUUCUUUCAAUACACUAGGGUGAUGUUCAAUUCGUUAGACUAGAUAAUAGAGAUAUAGUAUAACACUCCCUCCGUCCACCAAAAAAUAGUCUCAUUUUACCAUUUUGGGAUUUCCACAAAAAAUAAUCCCAUUUCUAAAAAUAGAAAGUUUCUCUCUCGUACUUGACCUACUUUUUCUCCUAUCUCUCAUACUUUACCCGAAUUCUCUUCUCUCUCAUACUUUAUCUCACCUACUUUACCUACUUUUUUUCUACCCUCUCUUUUACUUUACUAAUUUCUCAUUAAAACCCGCGCCGUCCACAAACGAGACUAUUUUUUGUGGAUGGAGGGAGUACAGCAUAUGCCAAAAUGAGGUUUAUCUUGGGUCAAAUUAGUCAUGGGAGUGAAAAUGAGAUGAAUAAUCCCGAGAUACAUUGUCAAGAGUCGAACUUUAUGAGAAAAAAAGCAACCGAACAAGAUAAACAUGAAUCUUGCCAAUGUUAAUACCUGGCAUGACUAGUUGCAAGUAAACAUGAAUCUGCCAAUGUUAAUACCUGCUUUCAUUUACAUGAGUACCAAACAACUCCUAGGAGUCUCAGUCGCCCUAAUCUCUACCCUUUAGGUAUCACCUCCAUAGUAUGUAGUCCUUACUUGGGCCCUUCUAUGUAUGUAUAAGUAUGUGUUCCAUAUACUUGGGCCUUCAGUUUGAAGUUUUAGUAGCUAAUUUAUUACUUGGGCCAAACUGAAAUGAGCUAUUUGAGGAGCAGCCAUAGUCUAGUAAUAGCUCUUCUGUGAAUCUUAAAUUAUAACCUCUCCCUCACACGGAAACUCUAAAGAUGUUGAGCUAUUUGAGGAGCAGCCAUAGACCAUAGUCCAGUAAUAGCUCUACUGUGAAUCUUAAAUUAUAACCUCUCCCUCACACGUAAACACUAAAGAUGUUAAAGACCCAGUUUAUGCUCUUCCAAAAGUGAUAGACGUAAUCUUGACAACCUUUUGGAUCGGCCAUGGGCAGUGGAGAUUGAACCCAAUGGCUGAUAUGUUCAUUAAGGUCUUUCCACAGGUUUUUACCCUACGCAAAGCUUUUGUGAAGAAUAAAUGGAAGUGAAGUGUUGGAGAUCCCCAAGACUUGUUUAAAUGAAUUCAGAUUCCUGGCUUAACUAUUUAUUCUGCCCACGAGAAUCACUAAAAAAAUGGCCAACGAUAUUUUUCAAUGCAAUUAAGAACGUUGAUUUAUUUUAUAAA